UCAAGAUCGUCAGGCGCGAGUGGGAGUACUCGCACCGCCAUGGCUUCUGCGGCCACUUCGCCAAUGGAAUCUUCCAGCUCUGGUUCCACUUCAAGCCGCUGACGCCUGUGGGCUGCCCGCCCCUGCCAGGCCGGCUUCUGGACAGCUAGCCUUUCGGAGGCCAGGCCGAGCGGACUACAAGGCCUCUUCCAGAAGCCUUGGGGAUCUGUGGACUGUAGAUUGCCGUCUGCACACAGGUGUGGGCAGCUAAAAGAUGAGGCUAAGCCUGUUAUUGGAUCCAGCAGGGAAAAAGAAGGUGGGCUGAGAGAUUUAGAGAAGGGACAGAGAGAUUCAGAAGGAUAGAGAGACACAGGGGCAGACAGAGGGGAGGACACCAGAUGGAACCUUUAGGAGAGGAAGAGAAACCAGAACCAGUUCCUUCUGGGAGUUCUACGUAGUGGGGACUUCUUAGAUAGGUGAUUAACUCUUAUGUAGGGUGGGUUUGUCCCAUUUGGGUGUUCCGCUUGUGUUGAUGUCGAUUUACUUUUAAGUUCUUUGUGUGGGUGUUUGGUGGGUUGAGAAUUUCGUGUUAUAAAACUGACUGAUAAAUCAUAA
rnacentral:lncRNA from 1 species